rnacentral:rRNA from 1 species
GCUCAGAUUGAACGCUGGCGGCAGGCUUAACACAUGCAAGUCGAACGGUAACAUGAGUGCUUGCACUUGAUGACGAGUGGCGGACGGGUGAGUAAAGUAUGGGGAUCUGCCAAAUGGAGGGGGACAACAGUUGGAAACGACUGCUAAUACCGCAUAAAGUUGAGAGACCAAAGUACGGUUCCGAAAGGACGUGCGCCAUUUGAUGAACCCAUAUGGGAUUAGCUAGUUGGUGGGGUAAAGGCUCACCAAGGCGACGAUCCAUAGCGGGUCUGAGAGGAUGAUCCGCCACAUUGGGACUGAGACACGGCCCAAACUCCUACGGGAGGCAGCAGUGGGGAAUUUUGGACAAUGGGGGGAACCCUGAUCCAGCCAUGCCGCGUGUCUGAAGAAGGCCUUCGGGUUGUAAAGUACUUUCGGUAGUGAGGAAGUUGUGUGUAUGAAAAGUGCAUGCAAUUGACGUUAGCUACAGAAGAAGCACCGGCUAACUCCGUGCCAGCAGCCGCGGUAAUACGUAGGGUGCGAGCGUUAAUCGGAAUUACUGGGCGUAAAGCGAGCGCAGACGGUUAGAUAAGUCAGAUGUGAAAUCCCCGAGCUCAACUUGGGACGUGCAUUUGAAACUGUCUAACUAGAGUGUGUCAGAGGGAGGUAGAAUUCCACGUGUAGCAGUGAAAUGCGUAGAGAUGUGGAGGAAUACCGAUGGCGAAGGCAGCCUCCUGGGAUAACACUGACGUUCAUGCUCGAAAGCGUGGGUAGCAAACAGGAUUAGAUACCCUGGUAGUCCACGCUGUAAACGAUGUCGAUUUGGAGUUUGUUGCCCUGAGUGAUGGGCUCCGAAGCUAACGCGAUAAAUCGACCGCCUGGGGAGUACGGCCGCAAGGUUAAAACUCAAAUGAAUUGACGG